ACGCUCGACACCUACGGGAGGGCAGCAGUGGGGAAUAUUGCACAAUGGGGGAAACCCUGAUGCAGCGACGCCGCGUGAGCGAAGAAGUAUUUCGGUAUGUAAAGCUCUAUCAGCAGGGAAGAAACUGACGGUACCUGACUAAGAAGCACCGGCUAAAUACGUGCCANAGCCGCGGUAAUCUGAGCGGGCGUGGCAAGGC
rnacentral:rRNA from 1 species